rnacentral:rRNA from 1 species
AAGCAGGGGAUCGCAAGACCUUGCGCUUAUGGAGCGGCCGAUGCCUGAUUAGCUAGUUGGUGGGGUAAGGGCCUACCAAGGCGACGAUCAGUAGUUGGUCUGAGAGGACGACCAGCCACACUGGGACUGAGACACGGCCCAGACUCCUACGGGAGGCAGCAGUGGGGAAUUUUGGACAAUGGGCGAAAGCCUGAUCCAGCAAUGCCGCGUGAGUGAAGAAGGCCUUCGGGUUGUAAAGCUCUUUCAGUCGAGAAGAAAAGGUCGCGACUAAUAAUCGCGACUCAUGACGGUACCGACAGAAGAAGCACCGGCUAACUACGUGCCAGCAGCCGCGGUAAUACGUAGGGUGCGAGCGUUAAUCGGAAUUACUGGGCGUAAAGGGUGCGCAGGCGGCUUUGUAAGUCAGAUGUGAAAUCCCCGGGCUUAACCUGGGAAUUGCGUUUGAAACUACAAAGCUAGAGU